rnacentral:rRNA from 1 species
AGCGAACGCUGGCGGCAGGCCUAACACAUGCAAGUCGAACGGAUCCUUCGGGAUUAGUGGCGGACGGGUGAGUAACACGUGGAACGUGCCUUUUGGUUCGGAACAACUCAGGGAAACUUGAGCUAAUACCGAAUGUGCCCUUCGGGGAAAGAUUUAUCGCCAUUAGAGCGGCCCGCGUCUGAUUAGCUUGUUGGUGAGGUAAAGGCUCACCAAGGCUACGAUCAGUAGCUGGUCUGAGAGGAUGAUCAGCCACAUUGGGACUGAGACACGGCCCAAACUCCUACGGGAGGCAGCAGUGGGGAAUCUUGCGCAAUGGGCGAAAGCCUGACGCAGCCAUGCCGCGUGAAUGAUGAAGGUCUUAGGAUUGUAAAAUUCUUUCACCGGGGACGAUAAUGACGGUACCCGGAGAAGAAGCCCCGGCUAACUUCGUGCCAGCAGCCGCGGUAAU